AGAAAGAACAAAUUAGAGCUUGAAAUUAAAAAGUAUUUCAUUUACAUUGAAAAGAAAUUAUAAUAAUAAU
rnacentral:tRNA from 1 species